AUUGAACGCUGGCGGCAUGCUUUACACAUGCAAGUCGGACGGCAGCACAGAGAAGCUUGCUUCUUGGGUGGCGAGUGGCGAACGGGUGAGUAACAUAUCGGAACGUACCGAGCAGUGGGGGAUAACUAAUCGAAAGAUUAGCUAAUACCGCAUAUCUUCUGAGGAAGAAAGCAGGGGACCAUUUGGCCUUGCGCUGUUUGAGCGGCCGAUAUCUGAUUAGCUAGUUGGUGGGGUAAAGGCCUACCAAGGCGACGAUCAGUAGCGGGUCUGAGAGGAUGAUCCGCCACACUGGGACUGAGACACGGCCCAGACUCCUACGGGAGGCAGCAGUGGGGAAUUUUGGACAAUGGGCGCAAGCCUGAUCCAGCCAUGCCGCGUGUCUGAAGGAGGCCUUCGGGUUGUAAAGGACUUUUGUCAGGGAAGAAAAGGGCGGGGUUAAUACCCCUGUCUGAUGACGGUACCUGAAGAAUAAGCACCGGCUAACUACGUG
rnacentral:rRNA from 1 species